rnacentral:rRNA from 1 species
CACUCCUGCGGGAGGCAGCAGUGGGGAAUAUUGCACAAUGGGCGCAAGCCUGAUGCAGCCAUGCCGCGUGUGUGAAGAAGGCCUUCGGGUUGUAAAGCACUUUCAGCGGGGAGGAAGGCGAUACGGUUAAUAACCGUGUUGAUUGACGUUACCCGCAGAAGAAGCACCGGCUAACUCCGUGCCAGCAGCCGCGGUAAUACGGAGGGUGCAAGCGUUAAUCGGAAUUACUGGGCGUAAAGCGCACGCAGGCGGUCUGUCAAGUCGGAUGUGAAAUCCCCGGGCUCAACCUGGGAACUGCAUUCGAAACUGGCAGGCUUGAGUCUUGUAGAGGGGGGUAGAAUUCCAGGUGUAGCGGUGAAAUGCGUAGAGAUCUGGAGGAAUACCGGUGGCGAAGGCGGCCCCCUGGACAAAGACUGACGCUCAGGUGCGAAAGCGUGGGGAGCAAACAGGAUUAGAAACCCUUGUAGUCCCA